rnacentral:rRNA from 1 species
AUUGAACGCUGGCGGCAGGCCUAGCACAUGCAAGUCGAACGGUAACAGGAAACAGCUUGCUGUUUCGCUGACGAGUGGCGGACGGGUGAGUAAUGUCUGGGAAACUGCCUGAUGGAGGGGGAUAACUACUGGAAACGGUAGCUAAUACCGCAUAACGUCGCAAGACCAAAGAGGGGGACCUUCGGGCCUCUUGCCAUCGGAUGUGCCCAGAUGGGAUUAGCUAGUAGGUGGGGUAACGGCUCACCUAGGCGACGAUCCCUAGCUGGUCUGAGAGGAUGACCAGCCACACUGGAACUGAGACACGGUCCAGACUCCUACGGGAGGCAGCAGUGGGGAAUAUUGCACAAUGGGCGCAAGCCUGAUGCAGCCAUGCCGCGUGUAUGAAGAAGGCCUUCGGGUUGUAAAGUACUUUCAGCGGGGAUGAAGGGAGUAAAGUUAAUACCUUUGCUCAUUGACGUUACCCGCAGAAGAAGCACCGGCUAACUCCGUG